CAACGACUCUCGGCAACGGAUAUCUCGGCUCUCGCAUCGAUGAAGAACGUAGCGAAAUGCGAUACUUGGUGUGAAUUGCAGAAUCCCGUGAACCAUCGAGUCUUUGAACGCAAGUUGCGCUUGAGGCCAUUAGGCUAAAGGCACGUCUGCCUGGGNGUCACAC
rnacentral:rRNA from 1 species